rnacentral:lncRNA from 1 species
GGCUUGCGUCCCGGGAGCCCGGCCUCGUGCGCCGCGCUUUGAGCAGCAGACUGCUCGACAAACACUGCGCCAAGAGCUCCUCAGCAGAAGCUCCUCGCAUCAGAUCCUCUGUGCUGGGAAUCCUCCCCUCUUGAGCACACUCUGUGCUCCUCUUCCAGUUACGGUGCAUGUGAAGCAAUGGUAUGGGAAAAUUGUUUGCAGAAGGAUGAAAAGGCUUUAUUGCCAAACUGUAAGUACAUGAUUUGAAAUGUUUAUGGUCAAGAGAAAAUAUUUCUACAGCAUCAUGUAAAGCAUGUAGAUACAUUUGCACAUGUGCAUUAACAUGUAAGAACAUGUGCCUCAGACACAUGUGCCCUCCUGGAACAGCUCAUGCUGGCCCCAUGCCUGCUUCCAAGCUUCCAUCAAGUCAGGGAGUGGAGCAAAGAGGGAAGGCAGCCCCUGCACUGUAGGGACCCUUAUGCACAGAGGCAUUGAGACUGCCUGUUCCUCUUGGAAGCUUCUGCUCUCAAGAGGCAGCUAGGUUUUUGGAGCUUCUCUGCUUCAUGUCUUGCUUCCCACCCUAGGGUUCCAGAUUCUGUUCUUCCCUAGUAUUGGCAAGGUUUUUUAUAGAUAGCUCUUGGAUACAUUUGGAAGUAAUGUUUACAAAUGGUGAGAGAGAAGGCAUCUGACAUUUUUUUCUAAACACAUGCCAAUGUUUGUCUUUUCCCCACUAAUUUCAAUAAUUUGGCCUAACACUUUUGUCACAUAUUCUGACUCUUUAUUCUGAUCCAUUUAUCUACUCUGGCAUCCCCACAUGGUUUUAAGUACUGGAGCUUUACUGUAUGUCUUGGUAUCAGGCCAAGCAAACCAUGUUAGUCUUAUUUAAAACUUUCUCAGCAAUUGAUGCAUAUUUGUUUAUCCUGAUGAAUUUUAGAACUUACCAGUACUGACAUCUUCACAGCAUUGUAUCCUGUCAACAACCUAGUCUGAACCUCAAUGGUUCAGGUUUCCUUUGCACAUACAGGCCCUGAGAACUCAUAUGUUAAUGAGAAAGACAUUCCGGGAAACCAGGAGGUGAGGAGACCAAGGAUUAGGCUCCACUCCUAUUAUGAAGAUGAACAGUUUUUAGAGUAUCAUGGAGUUGGAGAAGGUACUUCAAGGAUCUCUAUGGGGAACAAGAAGGAACAGCAAAGUUCCACCAUCCUGUGCCCUUUCUGUUCAGGUUUAUUGUUGUGAAUGAGAAUUUUUUUUUUUUUAACAUGUUGUGGAUCUAUCUAUCUGAUCACCUUAUUGAACUGAGAAUGGUUCUAUGGACUUGACUUUUCUUGGACUGACAACUGUACUGUCUGGAAAUGACAGUUUCUCCUUCCUUUCAGUAUUUGUGCCUGUCUAUCCCACAUCCCUGUACUGGUCAGGAUUUCCAGGACAAUAGUGAAUAAUAGUCGGGACAACAGGCUGGUUCUGAUUCCACUGUUCCUAACAUUCUACCAAGAAGCAUGUUUUUUUUCUAUUUUGGUAGUUUUAUGUUAGGUAGCCUUAUCAAGUUAGGACUUUUUUUUUUUUUAACCCAAGCUAAAGAAAGUACCCAAAAUAAAGAAAUUUUAUCAGGAACAGGUAUAAAUUUUAAGAAACGUAUUUCAACGCCUGCUAAAAUUACCACUUAUUUUUCUAUUAUGGCAACAAAUUACAUUAAUAGAUUUUCACUGUUAUUGUUUAUCCUGGGAGAAAGCAUACUUGUGAACUUUUUUAGGUACUGUGCUUUGGAACCAAAUUUGGAAGUGAGAUGAAAUGUCAGCUGUACUCUCCUGGUUAGGUAUGAUUUCAGGGUCAGGUAUGCCUGAUAAAUGAAGUGAGAUGCUUUAACUUUGUUCUAGAAUAGUUUCUACUGCAUGGGAAUGAUCUGUUCCUUGAGGAUUUGUCACAGUCUGCCCACAGUGGACUGGAUUUGGCAUGUAGGAUGUUAAUUUCUAUUUACUUUGCAAGAAAAAUACAGUUUAGCAAGCAACAGAAACAUACUGAACAUGAACCUCACCGUCCCUCUCUCAGCUGUAGCUCCUUCUGCGUCUGCAACCUGGCUUGUUCCCACGACAAAGGAACAUCAUAUUUUUUCAAAUCGUUUUUAAAAAAAUACACACAUAUCUGACCAUCUUCACUCAGCGCCUCUGAGAAAACAAUACAAAAACAGAUAAAGAGGCCAGCC